AACCUAAAGAAUUUGGCGGUGUUUUAAAUAAUUMGAGGAACCUGUUAUUUAAAUGACACUCCACAUCACAUCUUUCCUMMAUUUUGUUUGUAUMUCGUUGUUUAGGUAAUAUUUAAAGAUUUAUUACCGGGUUUAAUUAAAUUUUUAAAAUCAAMUCMGGGUGCAGCAYAUUUAGGUUUUAAUGGGUUACAAUAUAAGUCAUAUAUCAUGAAUAUAAAAUGAAAAUAUUAUUGAAGGUGGAUUUAAAAGUAAAUUAAAAUUAAGAAGUUUAUUUGAUUAAUAAUUUAAAACAUGCACACAU
rnacentral:rRNA from 1 species